AUUAUUGUCAAUCGCAGUAACAUGGUGAAAAACAUAACAAUUUCGAGGUGUAACAUAGCAACAGCAACAAUCGGUGAAAAGUGAAACUAACGUUAUCUAAGGACGGAGUUGGAAGAAUUCAAAAAUAUGAAAGUUGGAUAAGCUUGUAAAACCACUGCUAACAAGCAGCAACAAGUGGCAGCUAAGGCAUUGCAUUUGGCGGUUUUAAGACAAUACUCUUCAGCCAUAAACUUUAUACAGAAAAAAGUUCAAACCACGUUAAACACUUCGCUCACCAACGCAAACGAGGAUAAAGAUUCUUGAAUUCUAACACGUGAUUCAACAUUCAACAAGUGGAAAUCUACGCGGGAAUAGAGAAACCAUAUUGCGGUUUACGAUGCAAGAAUAAGAUGCCAGAUAGCCCGAGGUGGGUUCUGAGAAUAAAGAAAUUCGCCAUAAUUGAAUACCUGUUCUUCAUUCAAUCAUUUG